GAAAUGAAACACCUGUGACCUGUGGGCUUUCACAGAGGAGGAAAAACACGCUCGACUUCCAGCUGCGCCGUUUUAAAUGAAAGGAGCGAGGACACGAAACGAACGGACUAAAAGAAAGAUGAGGACGUGUUGGUGAGGAGAAACAGCAGGAGGCGAAGCACAGACUGAACAUGCUGCAGGUUGCAUGAGUGACAGAGAUGGGAGCAGCAAGAUCAUAUUGGCACACUUUUGCUGCGUUGGUGGUUUUUGCCCACUUUUGGAUCGUUAAAGGUGAAAGGUCAGAGGUCGGUGGAAAGG